CGCGCCGGAAGUGCCUCGCGACGCGGGGCCGCCACCGCCGCCGGGCCGAGGGAGGGCCGCGCAACCGCCGCCUGCGCGCCGGCUGCCCCUCGGCUCCUGGGAGCCGCGGCGCUACGGGCCUGGCGAGCACUCGGGCGGGCGCCGAGUAGGCUGGGCCCCGGCGCAGUGGCCUAGCCUGGACCGCAAGGCCGAAGCCGCCUCCGGGCCGCGUCCCGGUGUUUCGGGUUGUGUAACCUUGGCCAAAAUGCUUAAGCUUUUUCCCUGGCUGCCAAAUGGGGCCGAUCGUCUGACCUGCUGCCUCCGGAACUUGAGGGAUCAGAUCAAAUAACCCUUUCCUGGCACUCGUCUGCCGCUGUGAAUGAAUCACGGGCUCCUGUAAUCACCGUUAGGAGAGAUUGUUAAACUCGUACAGGGUUGGAUGUUUUAAAGUUACUGAAUACUUACUGGACCCCUACUACUCAAUCAAGACAUGCUAAGUUAGCUUGCCAUUCUUGUUCAUUUAUGUGUUUACUUAACUAUUUCUGGGUCUCCUCUUCCCAGUCAUAAAUACCUCUUGGAGUGUAAGCUCCUCGGAGCAGAGAUCCUGUUUCCAUAUUUCCUGUACCUAGAACAGUGCCAGAUCCGUAGUAGACACUGAAACAAAAAAUCUUUAAAAAAAAAAUAUAUACGAAUGUGGCACCACCAUUUACACAGGCCACUAAGCCAAAAAUCUCGAACUUGUCAGAUUGUCUCUUCUCAGCCAUCAGCAGUCAACAAGUUCUAGCAUUUGGUCUCUUAAAAGUGGUUCAAGAGUUUAUUUUUCCUCUCCUUCCUCUGCCAGUACCAACCAGUCUUCCGUAUCACUAUGUAUUGCAAGAGUCUCACAAGAAGAUAUCCAUCACUGACUGAUCUUCCUCCCGUUUAACAUCCCCAACAGGUGCCAGGGUGAUGUUUUCUUUAUUCUAAAAAGAAACCAGAUUAUAUCGCUCACUCCCUUGCUUAAAACAGUUCUUCAAUGUUAGGUAAAUAAAUCAUGGAGUCACCACGAAGGCUUUCAUCUGCCAGGCACUAUUCUGAACGAUAUUGGCUCAUUUAAUUCUCACAGAAACCCUAUGCAGCAGAUACGGUGAAAAUGUUCCUGUUACAGAUGAGGUAACUGCAGCACAGAGAGCUUGAGUGGCUUGCUGAAACACCAGACCCACUCAGUCUGGCUCCAUAAUAGGUCUUUUUGCUGGUAAUGAUUUACCAACUAUACAGCCACUUCAAAAAAAGGAAAUAGGGCCCUCGUGACUGGACCUCAUGCCAAACAACUCGUUACAAAAAGAGCUAGGGUUCCAGACUGCGCCGAAGCUUCAUGAGACCUCUCCUUGUCUGCAUGGACGAGUGGCCGACUCUGGAGCCCAGGCUGUUGCUUCCCAGUCUGGUGGUGAAUCCUCCAUAGUCUGGCAGGUGCUGUGAGUGCCGAAUUGGGACCGUGAUCUCCAAGUCUGGAAUUGGAGGAAAGAGGGAUAAGCUGUCAAGAUACCAGACUGUCACCUGCCAAGCUGCUCAGCAGCUUCCCUCCACCUGCCUCUCUCACAGGAGCCUGCAUGGGAAGGGGAAGGGGAAGGGAAAAGACGAUGGGAGAGGGAGGGGCCCUGGGUUGGUGGCCCCCUCCCUUUCAGCACUGAAACUACUGAAUCCUGUGUGGCUGUCACUGAGAGACUGAAGAGAGGAAUAGAAUAAUGUGAGAAAGGGACAGAGAAGCGCUUCUGCAUCAGGGAGCGGAAAGAACAAACCAUAAGAGAAAGGUUUGGGCUCUUAGCCCUGCCACUUAGCAUCUGUGGAACUCCAGCAAGACAGUUCUCCUCUCUGAAUCACUCCCCUUAUCUGAGGAGGGGUAUGUCCAUCCUUGACUGUAAUAACAGGCUGCCCUAUGCACCAAGCAGAGUUCUGAGAGCUAUGGUAUUUUUCAUUCAUUUAACCCCCACAACACCCAAGAAAUAAAUAUUAUUAUCAUCAAUGCCAGCAGAAACUAAGGUACAGAGAAGUGAUGUAGCAUGUCCUGUCAAACAGCUGGUAAGUGGCAGAGCUGGGAUUUGAACCCAGGCUCCGGAGUCCAGGCUCUUAACCACUGCUUGUACAGCCUCUUGCUCUCUGCACAAGGAACGGAUGGUGGGUGGGUGGGUGUGGGCUGGGUGGCCCACACACACAGUAAUGACCCCGAAAGCUAAUGAAAGGAGGUCCUUCAGGCCUAUGAAAGAUUUUGUGACUUGCAAGGCCCAUGGGGUAAAGAGAGCUGAUGCCUUUGUCGAGCAAAGCACUGACCUGACCUCCUUACUGGCUUAGCCCUACCCAGAGGUUGUCUCUGUUCCUCCCUACAUUUCCAAUGCUGGGUUCUAGGAGAAGAAAACAGUAACUCUGAUGAGUAGAAAAAAAGUCUGGGGGCAGCAGCACCAACUUCCUCCUGAAGGCAAGAUGUGCUCCUGCCUCAAGACUCCCCCGGCUGCCUGGGACCUUCUCAAGCCCAGAGGCAGGGUUUAUACAGCGGUGGCUGUACAAACUUGGGUAGAAGAGGUGUUAGCUUUCGGGACAUGUGCUUUUAUCUUCUGGUACCACUUCCUCCUCCACCUCUACCCUUCUAGGGGACAGGCGUGGCAGGAAGUUCAGAGAGUCCAGGGGCAGAGGUGGCUCCACCUACCAAAGCCAGAAAUCUGGCAGGGUGAAUGGAUAAACUGGAACAGGAUGAAGGAGCAGCGAGAGGACAGGGCACACCAAGUCCCCCAGAACAUUCUGCACAGAGAAUGAUCAGAGUGGAUUGUUGGCUUGCACAGGCACCAGCCUUCCUCAUCUGGAGACUCUGGCUCCAGGUGUAGUGUAUGGUCCAAGUGUCCAACCAACUUCCUAGAGUUUUGUGUAAUCCAGGUCUUUUUCACAUGCUGGGGCUCUCUUGGCUACAACCAUGCCGUGGAAGCACACACCCCAGCUUGGAGCUACUUGGGCAAAAAUAGCCAGGGGCACUCACUCUCACAUGGGUGGCCCCCACAGUAUCUUAGAGACCAAACGAGUGUCAGUCUUUUUUUUUUCUUCCUGCUCUGACUUAGAUUUUUAAAAAUCAUUGUUUGUUUGAGAAGGAAUCUCGCUCUGUCGCCAGGCUGGAGUGCAGUGGUGCCAUCUUGGCUCACUUCAACCUCUGCCUCCUGGGUUCAAGCAAUUCUCCUGCCUCAGCCUCCCGAGUAGCUGGGACUACAGGCACGCGCCACCACGCCCAGCUCAUUUUUGCAUUUUUAGUAGAGACGGGGUUUCACCAUGUUGGCCAGGAUGGUCUCAAUCUCUUGACCUCAUGAUCCACCCAUCUCAGCCUCCCAAAGUGCUGGGAUUAGGUGUGAGCCACCGCACCCAGCCAAAAAUCACUUUUUUAAAAGGGAGAUUCCGGUCUGCUUAAUUAACUUCGAGGAGGCAAUUUUUUAACCUCAACUAGUUCUAUAAAGAAGGAAAGUAAAAUACACAGGAAAAAAUAGGGAGUCAAAAGUUCAAAAAAUCAGGUAGAACCAGUCCGAAUGUUUAUAAAAUCCUGAUAUUCUUUGAAUAAAGGUACAAUGCUAGGAAUAGUUAUCAUGAUUAUAUUGCAUAGUGCUUUCCCAAAGUGCAUUUAUAUGCAUUAUUAUACCUCCUUUAAACUUCAUGACUUCUCCAUUAAGUAGAUAAGUCAGGUUAUAGCCCCCAGUGAGGAAACUGAGGCACAGAGUGGUUAAAGGAAUUGGAUCAUAAAGUGAUUCAGUGACAAAGCAGGAAUCAGAACCCAAGUUUCCUGGGACCCGGUUAGCUCCUCUACGUCCUGCUCCACAGGACACACCCAGAACACAAAUAUUGAUUACCUUCUCUGUGAGGCCAUGGCUCUCACCAGCCCUUCUCUAAUUUCCUACGCCAUCAACGCUAUGAACCAGCCCAGUAAGAGCAAACAAACCCCUGGGGUUGGAGAAAAACGGGCAAGUUAUUAAGAACAGUCUUAAUUUUUAAUUCUCUUUGGCAUUCUAACCCAAAUUAAAGAUUACUAUUUUUUCCCUAA